GGGCUGAUAAAGUGAACGUGUGUAUCAAUACCACCAGCAGUUACUAUGCAUCCUUCUCCUGCUAAAGCUUCUGUACUAACACCAACUAUAAAGUCAACGUUAUCCAUUCCGUGUGGGUUACCACCUUUACCGAUAGCAGCUAUUUUUCCGUCUUUUAUACCGAUAUCAGCUUUGUAAAUUCCAGUGUAGUCUACUAUAGUAGCUCCUGUGAUUAUUAAGUCAACUACUUUAGGGUUCUUUCUAGUUUCGAUUGAGUUUUGACCCAUACCGUCUCU
rnacentral:sRNA from 1 species